UUUGUCCUGUGCUCCAGUCAAACCACAACCCUUCAGUUUUGAUGUUGCAGCUGGUUGCCAUGGAAAUAAUUGUGAUUUCACAGGUUUAGUGUAGCAUCCAUUGCAGGAGACAAUGAGGAACAUUGGUUGUGUGGGAGA